CGCACAUCAUGUGCUGGCUGAGGUAAGUCCGACGUGCUCAAGUAGCACUGCCCUGUAUGUGGGCUUGGGAUUGC
ncrna:unclassified sequences S15-Methanomicrobia ribosomal protein leader